rnacentral:rRNA from 1 species
CAACACGACCGUACCGCAAACCGACACUGGUGCGCGAGAUGAGUAUUCUAAGGCGCUUGAGAGAACUCAGGAGAAGGAACUCGGCAAAUUGACACCGUAACUUCGGAAGAAGGUGUGCCUUUAGUAGGUGAAGUCCCUCGCGGAUGGAGCCCAAUGAGGUUGCAAAAAAUCGGUGGCUGCGACUGUUUAUUAAAAACACAGCACUCUGCAAACACGAAAGUGGACGUAUAGGGUGUGACGCCUGCCCGGUGCUGGAAGAUUAAAUGAUGGGGUGCAAGCUCUUGAUUGAAGUCCCAGUAAACGGCGGCCGUAACAAUAACGGUCCUAAGGUAGCGAAAUUCCUUGUCGGGUAAGUUCCGACCUGCACGAAUGGCGUAACGAUGGCCACACUGUCUCCUCCUGAGACUCAGCGAAGUUGAAAUGUUUGUGAUGAUGCAAUCUCCCCGCGGAAAGACGGAAAGACCCCAUGAACCUUUACUGUAGCUUUGUAUUGGACUUUGAACAGAUCUGUGUAGGAUAGGUGGGAGGCUUUGAAGCAGGGUCGCUAGAUCUUGUGGAGCCAACGUUGAAAUACCACCCUGGUGUGUUUGAGGUUCUAACCUAGGCCCGUAAUCCGGGUUGGGGACAGUGCAUGGUAGGCAGUUUGACUGGGGCGGUCUCCUCCCAAAGUGUAACGGAGGAGUUCGAAGGUACGCUAGUUACGGUCGGACAUCGUGACGAUAGUGCAAUGCAUAAGCGUGCUUAACUGCGAGACUGAUAAGUCGAGCAGAUGCGAAAGCAGGACAUAGUGAUCCGGUGGUUCUGUAUGGAAGGGCCAUCGCUUAACGGAUAAAAGGUACUCUGGGGAUAACAGGCUGAUACCGCCCAAGAGUUCAUAUCGACGGCGGUGUUUGGCACCUCGAUGUCGGCUCAUCUCAUCCUGGGGCUGUAGCCGGUCCCAAGGGUAUGGCUGUUCGCCAUUUAAAGAGGUACGUGAGCUGGGUUUAAAACGUCGUGAGACAGUUUGGUCCCUAUCUUCCGUGGGCGCUGCAGAUUUGAGGAAGCCUGCUCCUAGUACGAGAGGACCGGAGUGGACGCACCUCUGGUGUAUCGGUUGUCACGCCAGUGGCAUUGCCGAGUAGCUAUGUGCGGAAGAGAUAACCGCUGAAAGCAUCUAAGCGAGAAACUCGUUUCAAGAUGAGAUCUGCCGGGGCCUUGAGCCCCCUGAAGAGUCGUUCAAGACCAGGACGUUGAUAGGUCGGGUGUGGAAGCGCAGUAAUGCGUUAAGCUAACCGAUACUAAUUGCUCGUGCGGCUUGACCAA